rnacentral:rRNA from 2 species
UGGGGAAUAUUGCACAAUGGAGGGAACUCUGAUGCAGCGACGCCGCGUGAACGAAGAAGGCUUUCGAGUCGUAAAGUUCUUUUAUAUGGGAAGAUAAUGACGGUACCAUAAGAAAAAGCCCCGGCUAACUACGUGCCAGCAGCCGCGGUAAUACGUAGGGGGCUAGCGUUGUCCGGAAUCACUGGGCGUAAAGGGUUCGCAGGCGGAAAUGCAAGUCAGGUGUAAAAGGCAGUAGCUUAACUACUGUAAGCAUUUGAAACUGCAUAUCUUGAGAAGAGUAGAGGUAAGUGGAAUUUUUAGUGUAGCGGUGAAAUGCGUAGAUAUUAAAAAGAAUACCGGUGGCGAAGGCGACUUACUGGGCUCAUUCCGACGCUGAGGAACGAAAGCGUGGGUAGCAAACAGG